ensembl:lncRNA
UCUUUUUCAGGUUCAGGUAAGUACCAAAUUAUGUUUAAUUUUUACCAAAGUUGUGUUUUAUUUGUCCUGUUUUUUUAGGUUUCUGUGUUUUAAUAAAAUUUGUCUUUGCUCAAUGAAUUUAGUCUCUGUGUCGUUUUUAAUUCCAAUUUUUAGGCUUUUAAACUGUUUUUAUCCAUAAAUUAUCCAAUUUUUAGGUUAUACAUUUAUGACAUUCCAAUUUUUAGGUUUGAAUUUUUAGGCCAGUAAAUCAAUAUGUAAAUGAAAAAAACAUCAAAAGAAAUCCCCCCCCAAAAAAAAAAAAACUAAAACAACAAACAAAAACACUUUUUAGUGCUGACGCAUGGCUGUAGCUACGUUUCGGCUGGGCUGUGCCUUCUUCAGGCUGUGCACAUGCGUCGCUGGCUAAAUUAAAAUGAAGAGACUCUUCUCUGCCCCUCCUUUUAUAGUGUGCUGUGUCUCCUCCCACUCUUGGGAUUUCUGUUUUAUUGGUUUUUUUUGUUCAGUAUCUUUAAUGUUUGUCCUGUGUUAGCUUAGGCUUUUUUUGUUUUUAUUAUUUUUCUGGCACCCCCUUCUGUACUGUCUUUUCCAUUAUCCAUCCUUAUUUUUCUAUUGUUAUGGCACCCCCUUCUUAUUUGUCCUUUCCGUUAAUUUUUUCGUGAUUUUGUUCCUUUCCUGUGAUUGUCCUAUUCAUCCUGCUCUGUCCUUGUUAUGAGAUCCUCCGUGACAUUUUGUGCUAUGUUGCGUUUUAUUGUGUUGUCAAGUGGAAUUUGUGCACACUUUCCCGAGGUUUCUUCCCAUCAUCUGGCACCUGGGAGUUUUUCCUUGUCUUCCUAGAGAGCCAGCUUGGCCUGGGUCAGGAGCUCUAUCACAGCAAAACAACAACAAAAAGACUUUUAUGAAAGAACGACUUGAAUUUUGUGUUAUUUAAAAACACGUAUUUAAUUAUUAUUCAGUGUUGUGUGUUAUAGCAAACUGCCAGCCUUAAACCUGAAAAAAAACUCACGACUUUAUAGAACUAGACAAUGCAUUUCCUGAAGAAAAUUUCAAUGUAAUGAUUAUUUAUUAAUACGUUUUGUAUUCAGUAUUUAGUUUUAUAAAGUAAAUGCUGACCACACAAGUUUCCUUCUGGAUUAAUAAAGUUUUAAAAAAUAUCUGUAAAGUGUUAUGAAAUAUAAAAAUGUUUUUGUUGAGAAUAUGUCCACACAAAAUAAUUAAAUAGGGCAUUUUCUGUUAUUUAACAGAGGUUUUCUGUUUUAUAAUUACACUGCAGUUUGGACGACGAGCUUCUGGAACGUUUUUAGGCAUUUGUUCACAUUUUGCAAUUUAAGCCCCAAGAAACAUAAAGAUUUUCUUCUUUUAUUCCAGCAGCACUCCAUUAUCAUGUACACUGUAAAAUCUAACAUUGUGUUUAAUUAAAAAAUGUAAGGAUAUACUAAACUCAAUUUUUAUCAGUUUGUUUAAAUAAGUUACCAGUAGUUUUUAUUCAAAAAGCUGAUCAACCCAGUUUAUUUGAGUUGUCUUGAAUUGGAAAAA